rnacentral:rRNA from 1 species
AGCUGCAGUAUAAAUAACUGUACAAAGGUAGCAUAAUAAUUUGUUUUUUAAUUGAAAACUAGAAUGAAUGAUUAAAUGAAAUAUAAACUAUAUCAAAUUUAAAAAAUAAAUUUAUUAUUUAAAUAAAAAAAUUUAAAUAAUUUUUAAAGACGAGAAGACCCUAAAGAAUUUUAAUAAUAAAUUAUAAUAUUAUAUAAUAAUUUAUUAUAUUAAUUGGGGAAAUUUUAAAAUUUAAAAAAUUUUUAAUUAAAUAAACAUAAAUUUUUGAAUACUUAAAAUUUUUUUAAAAAAUUAAAUAAAUUACCUUAGGGAUAACAGCAUAAUUUUUUUAAAAAGUUCAAAUUUAUAAAAAAGUUUAUGACCUCGAUGUU